UAAAGGCAAUAUGAGGGAUGGUGAGGACAUCAGAUCAAAUUUCAUUUAUCAAAAUACCUAGCAGUGUUAUCCCAGACCCAUAUGGAAUGAGUCACAGAUGGACAGAUAGUAUGUAGCAGAGCUCUAUGUAUCUUAGGAAUCCAAAGGUAAAAUUGUGGGAGAUCUGCUCCCAUCAUGAGGGAUUCCAAAUCUACCCAUUUUCUAUUUUCUAUUGUCUGGGGGAGCGUGCCACAUUACAACCUGUGCUAAUUGAGC